CUGUAUCAGUGUGAGUGUAUUGUAUCAGUGUGUGUGCGUGCGUGCGUGCGUGUGUGCGUGCGUGUGCGUGCGUGUGUGUGUGUGUGUGUGAGAGUGCGGUCAGAGCGCUGUAAGUGAUCCCGGUGUGUUGUGGCUAGCAUCAGGCUGUUGGUGCUACACGGUGCAGCAGAGGCCCCUGGGGACCGGGGGCAGUAACUGAUAGCUUGGCAGCUAGCUGUUAGCUAGCUGUUAGCCCCGCCGCAGACUCUCCGGCCCAGAGGAGGAGGAACACCGCUCUGCUUGUUAAAUGGUGUCCCGUCCUUUAAGCUACAUGGACCGCGGCGUGUCUUUGUGUGUGCGUUUAUGUGUGCAUGUGUGUGUGUUUAUGUUUAUGCGUUUGUCUUUGACUGUGGGUGUGCGUUUGUGUGUGUGUUGUGUGUGAGAUUGUAUGUGUAAAUGUGUGUGUGCUUAUGUGUGUCUGUGUGUGCGUGUGUCAUUGUGCUUGUGUGUGUGCUUAUAUGUUUUUGCGUGCGAGUGUGUUUGUGCGUGUGUGCGUGUGCGUGUGUGGUGUUGUGUGUGUGUGUGUGUGUGUGUGUGUGUGUGUGUGUGUGCAUGUGUGUGCGUGUGUGUGCUUCCAUGUGCCUGCGUUUGUGUGUGAGUGCGCUGUGUCUGUGCGUUGUGUGUGUGUGCGCUCGCUUCCAUGCGUCUGCGUGCGCGUGUGCAUUAGUCUAUGUCUCUAGAUGUGUGUGUCUGUAUGCCUGCUCAUGCACAUGCAGGUAGUGUAAUACCCAGAGAGGAAACCCUCACUGGGACACAUGACAGAUCGUGCCUCUCUAUUGGUUGGCAGCCUCCUUCUUACCCAAUCAGGCCUGAUGGCGUUCAUCUUGUUGUGUAGCGCCGUGCGACUCCUCUAUGCGUCCUCACUUACCUCAAGGUGAGGAGCUUUACUCACACACCAAACGCCCCCUUUACAAGCCCCUCCCCCCCCUUCCCUCUGAUUGCUCUAAAUCCCAGAGAGCCCGCCCCCCUGGGCUGUGAGUGACAGGGAGGUGGUGCAGAGUGGGGGAUGUUUGAUUUGUGCCCAGGCUGAAGGACGUGGUGGAGGUGAUGGUGCUGCACUGAUCCCCGAGACACCGUCCGUCCGUACGGGACAAGGCCCCGCCUCAGAACAGUCCGUCUUCCGUGUGAUUGGACAGUCAGGGGACACCCGAGACAUGACAAUCUGCACCGAUGAAUAACUCUGUGGCUCGGACUUUAACCUGUAACCUAUGGCCUCGUCUAUCAUGUAACAUACGUCCGUGGACUCUGCUAUGACGGCUCUGUAGUGGCAGCUGCAUCCCAGGCACUGCUGCUGCUGAUGCAGGGGAAGGACUGAUAGAUGUGGAGCUCAAGGGAGAGCACGUAGCCCUUUGUGUACUGGAGGUUAGGGAUGCCAUGUCAUCAAUCACAUGUUAUCCAGCCCAUCGAUUAUAUCACAUAUCAAAAACUAUGGCUUCACCCAACGAUGGGAAUCGUACUGUUGUUAUAUUUAAGCUGCUAGAACAUAUACCAAACAAUAUUAUUCAUAUUAACGGUAUUAGGAAUUAUCCUACAAUUAAUAAUAGAGCAUUGAAAAUGUGAGGCGUCUCUCAGGUCACUCAAGGUCUUCCUACAUCGCAGUUUAAACAACAUCCCAUAACCUCAGCUGAGUUAAUAGACGAUAAGAAUAAACAGACACGCUAAAACAAUAACCUCCGUACAUUCGACCAGAGGUCGCGUGACCUUGUCAUGUGACCGGACUAUAAUUGGUUUCACACGUUAACCCUAACGAGCGUGAGAGUACCCGAGGCCUGUACCUGAGGUCCUGGGUCGCGGGUCUCACGGCGGGGGUCCUGCCAGCGCCCGGGAGCAAGGCAGUCGUCGGGGAGCCGGUGGCCUCGCCGCAGGACCUGGUGUGGAUGACAUCAUCACCACCCCGCGAUGAUGUCAUCCUCCCGUCGAUGAGGAUGAUGUCAUCCCCCUCUCCCAGGAUAGAAAGAGUGAUAAAGAGAGAGUGACAGAAAGAGUGAUAGAAAGAGUGAUAUAAAGAGUGAUAAACACAGUCAUGUACAACUCAGGAAGGAUUAAACAUCUGAGAAUGAGUGUUUAAAUACCCAUUUGUUAAUUAGUUACGUGGGACCCAGCAGUCUUGCGGUGUUGUACCAUAACUUCUGAUCCAGCAGUCCUACUAUGUUACAGCAGAAUGACACCGAGCCGUAAAACUAAAAAUGGACUCGCAAGAUAUUAAUCUCAAGUGAUUGGUGAGACCAGUUAUAUCACCUACCGUCAUAACAACAAACAUCUUUUAUUUGUAGUCGUCCUACUCCUAUUUUCUUAAAUCAACUGAAUAUUUACUUGACGGUUAUUUGAACACAGUAUUUUGAGGCAUUUUAAACAACAUUAACUUAGUUAAUAAUGUAUUGACAGUAUCGUUCCCCGGUCAUACAUUAAAUAUUAAUUCAGCCCACACUGAUAUAUUGUUUCCAGUGAAACGCUAUGAUCUUGAAUUAUUUAUUCAUAUGAAAGUUACAUUUAACAGCUUCUCAUUGCUCUAGACACUUAGGACCAAUGCUUUAUUGAUUCUGUUGUGGUUGUUAUUAUUUUAAAACACAUGCCUGUGAAAUAUGGCUGAGAUGGAUCAAUCACAGUCGACAUAUUAAUAAUUAUGUCAUAUGCCAUCCAUUUCAACUGUACAGAGGUCAGCGUAUUGAUUGCAUUAAUAAUUAAUAAACCUUUAUUCUCCACAUUUGUUAAAUAAAGAGCAGAAGAGCUAAGGACAACUCAUUUGAACAUGUUGCAUUUUCAAAGUAAAAGCCAGGCAAGGCUUUUAUAAACCUCAUCAGGCAGGACAGGGAACAGAUCCACAAGGAGAGACAGACCGUACUGUGCUUGGUCCUGCUUCGUUAGAAGGUCAGGACUCCAUUGGAGGGAAGUUUAUCUCCUAACGAGGACAAACAACAUCAGGCCACAGAACUCAGUCCUCCCAACACAACAUCAUCAUCUCCUUAGAGGAUGGGCCUGCCAGGCUCUAACUGGGUUACUGGUUGAGACGCAACAACUCAGACUGACUCCUUCCUGCCUUCAGCCUUCAAAGAUUAGAUAUCGGUGACAUUAAGUAUUUUAGGAGACGCUUUUUAUGCAAAGCGGGCCCGCCGAGGAGACUUGAUCCUGAUCCACCAGCAGUCAAACAGACAGCUCCAGACUCCUACUCACUGCUGGUCAUGAAGCACGCUUUUAUCACUAGCUGCUACUCUCAGUGAAUUAGAUACAUGUCAUUAAGGUUAGAUAGUACAGAGUCAGGUCUUUAGGGAGCAGGUAGGGGUUAGACAGUAAAGAGACAGGUCAUUAAGGAGCAGGUAGGGGUUAGACAGUACAGAGACAGGUCAUUAAGGAGCAGGUAGGGGUUAGACAGUAUAGAGACGGGUCAUUAAGGAGCAGGUAGGGGUUAGACAGUACAGAGACAGGUCAUUAAGGAGCAGGUAGGGGUUAGACAGUACAGAGACAGGUCAUUAAGGAGCAGGUAGGGGUUAGACAGUACAGAGACAGGUCAUUAAGGAGCAGGUAGGGGUUAGACAGUACAGACACAGGUCAUUAAGGAGCAGGUAGGGGUUAGACAGUAGAGAGACAGGUCAUUAAGGAGCAGGUAGGGGUUAGACAGUACAGAGACAGGUCAUUAAGGAGCAGGUAGGGGUUAGACAGUACAGAGACAGGUCAUUAAGGAGCAGGUAGGGGUUAGACAGUACAGAGACAGGUCAUUAGGGAGCAGGUAGGGGUUAGACAGUACAGAGACAGGUCAUUAAGGAGCAGGUAGGGGUUAGACAGUACAGAGACAGGUCAUUAAGGAGCAGGUAGGGGUUAGACAGUACAGAGACAGGUCAUUAAGGAGCAGGUAGGGGUUAGACAGUACAGAGACGGGUCAUUAAGGAGCAGGUAGGGGUUAGACAGUACAGAGACAGGUCAUUAAGGAGCAGGUAGGGGUUAGACAGUACAGAGACAGGUCAUUAAGGAGCAGGUAGGGGCUAGACAGUACAGAGACAGGUCAUUAAGGAGCAGGUAGGGGUUAGACAGUACAGAGACAGGUCAUUAAGGAGCACCUCGACUAUCCUGCCCAAAUUCAAAUCAAUAUUUCACCUCAUGCGAUUAGAGGAUCGAACGGCACCGUAGAACAAAGCGUCCGAACACUUCAGAUGUAAAAAAAGACACAACAACAAUGGAAGAACUAAAAGGGGGAAACUUUGGUAAACGCUAGCACUACGUCUUCCCCUGUCGAUAGCGGCGCGGCGGCCUAUUAGUCAAGCUCUUCAUUACUGGGGUGUUAGCGUGGCACUCGGCCGCGGCUCCGCAGAAGCGCUGACUGGCGCUGGGAGAGAAAAGCGCUGAUGAAGCCGCGCAGCCCGCUCCCAGCCGUCAUUUGCAUAUUGUGUUUGUCUUCCAGUCGGAGAAGUGGAUAGGGAGACUUAAGGGAUGGAGCGGGGGGGGGGGGAAAGUUUGAGCUGCCAAAGUGGCAUUAAAACAUGGAGAGAGGCGAAAGAGUGAGUCAUCACAAUGCUAAGGACACUGACGCUGACGCCACCGCUGCGGGUUAGAGUUCGUGAGGAGUGAUGUCACUUCCUGUGAAACGCCUGCAGGGUUGGGAGAAUGGAACUUACUUUCAGAAACUGUGUGUGUUUGUGUGUGUGUGUGCGUGUGUGCAUGUGUGUGUGUGUGUGUGUGUGUGUGUGUGUGUGUGUGUGUGAAAGCGUGUGUGUGUGUGUCUCAGCAUGUGUGUGUGAGUGUGCGUAUGCGUGUGUGUGUGAGUGUGUGAGCGUAUGUGUGUGUGUCAGAACGUGUGUGUGCAUGUGUGCGUGUGUGUGUGUGUGUGUGUGUGUGUGUGUGUGUGUGUGUGUGUGUGUGUGUGUGUGUGUGUGUGUGUGAGUGUGUGAGCGUAUGUGUGUGUGUCAGAACGUGUGUGUGCGUGUGUGUGUGUGUGUGAGUGUGUGAGCGUAUGUGUGUGUGUCAGACCGUGUGUGUGUGUGUGUGUGUGUGUGAGUGUGUGAGCAUAUGUGUGUGUGUCAGAACGUGUGUGUGUGUGUGUGUGUGUGUGCGUGUGCGUGCAGACCUGUGUGUUUGUGUUUCCAUGUGGGCGUGUGGAAGGGCAUUCUUAGAAAUGUUGUCCGUUAAAUGAGCAUCUUCCACUUUCAGGAAAUAAUCUCAUAAUCGCGCAAUUAGUACAAUUAAUACAAUAAGUGCUUCUUACGAGGGUUAGAUAUGUUGUGAAGGGUCCCGCCGGUGUUCAUGCCCUCGGUCUCAGAGUGGGAGUCGUGUUCUCUGGUCCACACUGCAGUCCUGUACAUCUGCAGAGGGGGAGACGCAGAGCCUGAGCGCAAGGAGCUCUGCAGACUGCAGGAGCAUCGCACUGCUGUUGGUUUAGAGGUGAACCUCCGUGAGUCAUGCUAGUGAUUCCCUCCCCCCCCCACACACCCCCACACCCCCACCCGACACCCCCCCCCCCCCCCCACACCCCACGUGGCUCCACCAGGCUGACGGAUCGCCGCUUCCAGGGCUCAAAGUGCGUCCGGCGCGGUCGAUGAGACGUCUCCUGAUGAGUUCAGACACAAGACUUCUGAAGGCGCUGUUUUUUAAGCCAUGAAGUCUUUCUGUUGUUAGGGAACAGAAUGUACUCGGAGAACUGUAUGACUGUUCUGGAUGUAGGGGGAAACCAGAGGCCAUGAGAGGAGUGAGGAGAGGAGUCUGAAGUUAUUACACAAUAUUAGGUUAUAUUUCACAGUUAGGAAUCACAUAAUUACCUAAACCAUGUAUUUUGUGUGUGUGCGUGUGUGUGUGUGUGCUUGUGUGCCAGCACUUGUGUUUGUGUCUUUGUGUGUGUGUGUGUGUGUGUGUGUUUGUUUGUCAGCACAUGGUCCGUAUGUGUGUGUGUGUGUGUGUGUGUGUGUGUGUGUGUGUGUGUGUGUGUGUGUGUGUGUGUGUUAGCACGUGUGUGUGUGUGUGUGUGUUAUUGCGUUAUCAUUAUUCUAACACUGAGCUCUGCUGGUCAUAGAUGGGCCGUGUGUUUAGCACAUGUUUUACCUGGUGGCCAGCAGCGGCCUGAGGUCGCCAGGUCCUGGAAGAUACAGGAGCUGGUUGGUCAGGUGACCACCUUGAGGUCGCAAGAUCCUGGAAGAUACAGGAGAUGGUUGGUCAGGUGACCACCUUGAGGUCGCAAGGUCCUGGAAGAUACAGGAGCUGGUUGCUCAGGUGACCACCUUGAGGUCGCAAGGUCCUGGAAGAUACAGGAGCUGGUUGGUCUGUUUGUGAAGCGCGUCUCCAACAAAUCAAAACUUCUUGUAGUUGUGCAAUCGGAUGCUAGUUUGCUCAUAUCACAUGCCACGCAACAGACCAUCUGACGCUAUGGUGGCACGAUCACACGCUAAGAAGCUACGUGCUACAAUUACGUUGAGGAUGUCCCCAGAUCACACAAAGCUUUGACGCUACGGUGGUAACACAUGAUGCUAUGUUGCUACGACGGUAUGAUGCUAUGUUGCUACGACGGUAUGAUGCGAUGCUGCUAGCAUGCGAUGCUGCUAGCAUACAAUGCUGCGGUGCUAACGUGCUACGGGGCCCGGAUCGGUGAUGCUAAGCGUGGAAAAAAGCAAGGGCGCAGGGAUCGUAGGUCGCGGUUCUAUCAGUCAAUGUGUUUGCUCUCCAGAGCUUUGGUGCUGAUUGAAUGUUGUGGGAGGGGAGUGGGAGGAGGGGGGAGGGGGGAGGGGGGGGUGAGGCGGGGGGAGGGGGGCGUAGUGACAGCCUCCUCUAACAUACGGAGGUAAAGCCCUGAUGCCAGCACCCCCUCCUCGCAGCGUUCUGCAGAGGCAGCGUUCUGCUAACGGCUGGAUGUGGACCACAGUGUGAACAGACUAAUGGUUAAACACACGUACAUGCACACACACACACACACACACACACACACACACACACACACACACACAAGCGCGAAAACACACGCACACACACACAUGCACACACACACACACACACACACACACACACACACACACACACACACACACACACACACAAACACACACUUGCACACACACACACACACACGCACAGGCACAGGCACACAUACACACACACAGGCACACACACACAGGCACACACACACACACACGCACAGGCACACAUACACACACACACACACACACACACAAAUGCACACAAUGUACAGCUGUAAUAAUGCUCACACACACAAAUACGCUUUUAACACUCAGUCUAUCUGGUGAAUAUGCACAAACAUACACACACACACACACACACACACACACACACACACACACACACACACACACACACACACACACACACACACACACACACAGGCGUUAAUGUCAUUAUUAACUGAGCUCUCUUCAGGUCUGUUGCGGAGCUGCUGUCCUGUUUCUUGUUGGUCCAGCUCCUCCAGCUCCGUCACUACUGGGCUCCCACACGGGACACACAUCACCGCUCUGCACACGCACACACACACUCACACACACACACACAGACAGACACGCUCACACACACACACUCACGCACACACACUCACACACACACACACACGCACACACACAGACAGACACGCUCACAAACACACACACACACACACACACACACACACACACACAGACACACACGCA